AACCUUUACACUGCACGACAGUGCGAUAGGGGGACUCCGAGUGCGGGGGCAUAGAGCCCUCGCUUUUGUACACCGUAAGGUGGUGUACGAAUAAGAACUGGGCAAGACCGGUGCCAGCCGCCGCGGUAAUACCGGCAGUUCGAGUGAUGGCCGAUUUUAUUGGGCCUAAAGCGUUCGUAGCUGGCCGAUCAAGUCUGUCGGGAAAUCUGCUCGCCUAACGAGCAGGCGUCCGGCGGAAACUGAUCGGCUUGGGACCGGAAGACUCGAGGGGUACGUCCGGGGUCGGAGUGAAAUCCUGUAAUCCUGGACGGACCACCGAUGGCGAAAGCACCUCGAGAGCACGGAUCCGACAGUGAGGAACGAAAGCUGGGGUCUCGAACCGGAUUAGAUACCCGGGUAGUCCCAGCUGUCAACGAUGCCCGCUAGGUAUGGCGCAGGCUACGAGCCUGUGCUAUGCCGUAGCGAAGGCGCUAAGCGGGCCGCCUGGGAAGUACGUUCGCAAGAAUGAAACUUAA
rnacentral:rRNA from 1 species